CCCCUCCCGGUCUAGUCCUCCCGCCUCUCGCGCUCUCCCUCCCCUCGCUUUCAUCCUCCUAUCCCCACCUCUCCAACCUCCGCUUUCAUCCUCCUCCCUUCUCUUCUCCUCCCCGCUCCCGCCUGCCCCACCCCUGGGAAGCCCCUCCCGUCGGGCAGCGCCGCCUUUAUAAGCGGUUUCUCUGCCCGGGGGCGGCAGCGGCUGGUCGGCGGCAGCUCUGCGGGUGCGGGGGCGGCGAGCUGAGGACUUAGCGACCGCGGCCGGAGCGUGCCGGCCACCGCCCGCACCGCCCUUCCGCCCACUCUCUGGACGGCCGCAGCCCUGCGGGUCUCCACUCCAGACCCACCUCCGCCCCACCCCGCGCGUCUCUGCCGCCUCUUCCAGAGACCCAGCUUGCUGAGCGGCCGCCACUGCCGCUGUCGCCGCCGCCGCCACCGCGUCAGGUUCCGGCCGCGGCCACCUUCCGACGUCCAGGGCCCCUCCGUCCCGGCCCCGGGACCCCGGCUCCCCGCCAGCCCCGGCCCCGGCCCCGGCACCAUGUCGGAGAAGAGCGUGGAGGCAGCGGCCGAGCUGAGCGCCAAGGACCUGAAGGAGAAGAAAGAGAAGGUAGAGGAGAAGGCGAGCCGGAAAGAACGAAAGAAAGAAGUGGUGGAGGAGGAGGAGAAUGGAGCCGAGGAAGAAGAAGAAGAAACUGCUGAGGAUGGAGAAGAGGAAGAUGAAGGG